AGAUCACCACGUUGACUUGCAAGAAACUCACUAUACUUUAGUACCGGACUAACUGAGUUUCUAAUUCAGUGAUGGAAUAUUUCUGGAUAUAGUCAAGUACUUGUCAAGUCGGUGCGUGAGUCAAAAUAGAAUUGACCCCUCUGAAUUAGUAGGAGUUAAUGUAUUGAUGUAUUUCAAUUUAAUAAAAUCUAAGAUCGGAUAAUCCA
rnacentral:lncRNA from 1 species